GUCACGUUAGCUUGUUUGGUAGACCGUUGGACUUUUGCUCAAAGUGUCGCGGGUUCGAUACCCGCCGAGGACA